rnacentral:rRNA from 1 species
AGGACGAACGCUGGCGGCGUGCCUCAUACAUGCAAGUGGAGCGACGAACCAGGAUUUAUCCUGGGGCAAAGCCGCGAACGGGUGAGUAACACGUGGGUUACCUGCCCCGAUGAUUGGGACAACCCGAGGAAACUCGGGCUAAUACCAAAUGUGCCCGUGGUUGUGAUGAUCACGAGGAAAGGAAGCUUCGGCCUCCGCAUCGGGAUGGGCCCGCGGCCCAUUAGCUAGUUGGUGGGGUAAAGGCCUACCAAGGCGACGAUGGGUAGCUGGUCUGAGAGGACGAUCAGCCACACUGGGACUGAGACACGGCCCAGACUCCUACGGGAGGCAGCAGUGGGGGAAUAUUGGACAAUGGGCGCAAGCCUGAUCCAGCAAUGCCGCGUGGGUGAAGAAGGUCUUCGGAUUGUAAAGCCCUUUCGGCGGGACGAUGAUGACGGUACCGCAGAAGAAGCCCCGGCUAACUUCGCGCCAGCAGCCGC